AUGGUGUCACAGGUACCUUGGACAGACAAAGCCUGUUUGUACGGGUCAGCACUGGGGUGCAGACUAAUGCAGCUCUGUUGCAGCAGGUGGAUGCAGCACGGUCUGGGACUGCUGUUUCUCGACAGCUCAGUGCUCUGUCAUUGCAGCGCAGCUGGAGCAGGCAGGGACGGGGAUGCCAAAGCACAGCUCGCUCCUCCUUGCUGCCACCGUGCUCAGGCAACACACACCAGGGAGCCCUUGCUGGGACCUCCUGUCUGUGGGUCUGCAUGGCCGUGGGAUGACCUGAACCCUCCCUCCAGGGCUGCAUAA
rnacentral:lncRNA from 1 species